GCCAUCAGAUGUGCCCAGAUGGGAUUAGCUAGUAGGUGGGGUAACGGCUCACCUAGGCGACGAUCCCUAGCUGGUCUGAGAGGAUGACCAGCCACACUGGAACUGAGACACGGUCCAGACUCCUACGGGAGGCAGCAGUGGGGAAUAUUGCACAAUGGGCGC
rnacentral:rRNA from 1 species